UAACUAAGGAGAUCUCGAAUAUGUUUACUACAAAGAUGUCGUCUCAGCUAACAGUUAGCUGCUAGCUGCUAGCGGCUCGUUGAUAUGACUUAAACCUACACAUUCCUCUGUGACGCAACUAAGGUCUUAUUCUUUCCACACACAGCGAAAAUGCAGCUGAAGCAUCUGAAGACGCUGCUGACGCCUCAGGAGGGAGCCGCCAAGGUGACGUGCAUGGCCUGGGCCCCGAACAACACCAGGUUCGCUGUUUGCACGGUGGACCGGGUGGUGCUGCUCUACGAUGAACAGGGGGAGAGGAGGGACAAGUUCUCCACGAAGCCCCUGGAGUCCAAGUAUGGAAAACAGAGCUACGUUGUGAAUGACAUGGUUUUCUCGCCUGAUUCCACCAAAAUCGCAAUCGGCCAGUCAGACAACAUCAUCUUCGUCUACAGGAUCGGAGAGGACUGGGGAGACAAAAAGGCCAUCUGCAACAAGUUUGUUCAGACAGCGUCUGUGACCUGCCUGGUUUGGCCUGCAGAGCACGCCAUCGUUUACGGAUUAGUUGAUGGCAAGGUUCGUCUUGCCAACACUCAGACAAACAAGUCCUCGACCAUCUACGGCACCGACUCCUGUGUUGUUUCGCUGGCAUCCAAUGUCUCCAGUAAAGGCGUCCUGUCCGGCCACGCUGAUGGGACGGUCGUUCGUUACUUCUUUGAUGAUGAAGGCUCGGGGGAAACUCAGGGUAAGCUGCUGAUGCACCCGUGUCCACCCUACGCCCUGGCUUGGGGCACAAACAGCAUUAUGGUGGGUGGCUGUGACAAGAAGGUGGUGGCGUACAGCAGGGAGGGCCGGGUCCUGCAGACCUUCGACUACAGCCGCGACCGAACAGAGCGGGAGUUCACUGUAGCCGCCAUCAGCCCCAGUGGGCAGUCUGCUGUGUUCGGCAGCUAUGACCGGUUGCGGGUGUUUAACUGGGCUCCUAGAAGAGGUGUGUGGGACGAAGCCAAGCCUAAAGAGAUUCUUAACCUCUACACCAUCACCAGCUUAGCCUGGAAGAAAGACGGAUCCCGCCUCUGUGCUGGAACUCUGUGUGGAGGAGUGGAGCUGUUUGACUGCUGCCUGCGAAGGGUCAUUUAUAAGAACAAAUUUGAGAUGACCUACGUUGGGCUGAGCCAGGUGAUAGUCAGGAACCUCUCUACAGGGACUCGAGUGGUCCUGAAGUCCUACUACAAUUAUGAGAUUGAAGACGUUAAGAUCAUGGGGAAGGAUCGCUUCUUGGUGGCUCACACCUCUGAUACCCUGCUGUUGGGAGACCUGAUGACAAAUAAACUGAGUGAGGUGCCGUGGCCCGGUUCUGGGGGGAAUGAAAAGUUCUUUUUUGAAAAUGAAACCGUGUGUAUGAUUUUUAAUGCUGGAGAGCUGAGCCUGGUGGAGUACAGUAACAACGAGAUCCUAGGAUCAGUCAGAACAGAAUUUAUGAACCCUCAUCUUAUCAGUGUGCGUCUAAACGAGAGGAAGCAGAGAGGAGCUGAAGACAACAAGAAGCUUGCCUACCUGAUUGACAUGAAGACCAUCGCUGUGGUGGACUUGGCUGCAGGCUACAAUCUGGGAACCAUCAGCCACGACUCCAAGAUUGACUGGCUGGAGCUCAACGAAACCGGACGCAAACUGCUGUUCAGGGACAAGAAGCUGCGGCUCCACCUGUACGACAUAGAGGCCACGGUGAAGAGCACCCUGCUGAGCUUCUGCUCCUACGUGCAGUGGGUGCCUGGCAGCGACGUGGUGGUUGCCCAGAACCGGGGGAACCUCUGCAUCUGGUACAGCAUCGACAGUCCAGAGAGCAUCACCAUGUUCCCCAUCAAGGGAGACAUUGUGGAUCUAGAGAGAGCUGAUGGAAAGACCGAGGUGAUCGUGACAGAAGGAGUGAACACGGUGACGUACACGCUGGACGAAGGCCUCAUCGAGUUCGGUACUGCUGUUGACGAUGGAGACUACGACCGAGCCACAGCUUUCCUUGAGACUCUGGAGAUGUCGCCAGAGACUGAAGCCAUGUGGAAGACGCUCAGCAAGCUGGCUCUGGAGGCACACCAGCUGCACAUUGCAGAAAGGUGUUUUGCUGCUCUGGGCGAUGUCUCCACUGUGCGUUUCCUCCAUCAGACGAACCAGGUUGCAGACAAAGUUUCCCAGGAAGUGGGAGGAGAUGGCUCAGCGUUUUACCAAGUCCAAGCCCGUGUGGCCAUGCUGGAUAAAAACUUCAAACUGGCUGAGAUGCACUACGCUGAGCAGAAUGCGAUCGAUGAAGCGAUAGAAAUGUACCAAGAACUGCACAUGUGGGACAGCUGCAUUGCUGUGGCUGAAGCCAAGGGCCACCCAGAGCUGGACACCCUCCGUGGGAACUACUACCACUGGCUGACGGACACGGGUCAGGAUGAGAAGGCCGGCGAGGUGAAGGAGAGCGAGGGCGACUUCCAGAGCGCCAUCAGCCUUUACCUGAAGGCCGGGCUCCCGGCCAAAGCCGCGCGCCUCGCCAUCAGCCGGCCGGAGGUCAGCAGCAACAGUGACACCGUCAGCCGCAUCGCUGCCAGUCUCAUUACGGGAGAGUUCUAUGAGAGGGCAGGAGAUCUGUAUGAGAAGAUCCGAAACAACCAGAGAGCUCUGGAGUGCUACUGCAAAGGAGGCGCCUUCAGGAAAGCCGUGGAGCUGGCUCGUCUCGCCUUCCCUGCCGAGGUAGUGAAACUGGAGGAGGCAUGGGGGGACUACCUCGUCCAGCAGAAACAGAUGGACGCCGCCAUCAACCACUUCAUUGAAGCAGGCUGCUCUCUUAAAGCCAUCGAGGCGGCCAUCGCAGCUCGUCAGUGGAAGAAAGCCGUCCACAUCCUGGAGCUGCAGGAGGAUUCAUCAGCAGGGAAAUACUAUGUGAAGAUAGCUCAGUACUACGCCUCCAUGCAGGACUACGAGGUGGCGGAGCAGCUGUUUGUGAAAGGAGGCCACAUUAAGGAUGCCAUAGACAUGUACACGGCAGCAGGACGCUGGGAGGAGGCUCAUAAGCUGGCAGGGAGGUGUAUGACGGAGGAGGAAGUCACGGCUCUGUACCUCAGCAGAGCUCAGGAGCUGGAGAGAGACGGCAAGUUCAAAGAGGCUGAGAGGCUGUUUGCCACCGUGAAGCAGCCUGACCUCGCCAUCACCAUGUACAAGAAGAACCGCAUGUUUGAUGAUGUUAUCCGCCUGGUGGCCAAACACCACCCUGACCUGCUGACCGAGACGCACCACCACCUGGGCAAGGAGCUGCAGGCCGAGUCCAGGUUCUCAGAGGCCGAGUAUCACUUCAUGGAGGCUAAGGACUUGAAGGCUGCUGUUCAGAUGUACAGCAUCAAUGACAUGUGGGAGGAUGCACACAGGGUGGCGAAGGCGCACGGAGGUGGGGGGGUGCAGCAGCAGGUGGCCUACCUGUGGGCCAGGAGUCUGGGAGGAGAGGCUGCUGUCAAGCUUCUCAACAAGUUCAGCCUCCUGGAAUAUGCCAUCGAGUUUGCUUCAGACAACCUCUCUUUCGACUUUGCCUUUGACUUGGCUCGUCUCGCAUGCAAAGACAAGAUACCUGACAUCCAUCUGAAAUACGCCAUCUACCUGGAAGAUGAGGGGAAGUUUCCUGAGGCAGAGGUCGAGUUCAUCAAAGCAGGGAAACCCAAAGAAGCUGUUUUCAUGUACGUCCACAACAAGGACUGGGCCAGCGCUCAGCGGGUGGCAGAGGGCUACGAUCCAGAGAGCGUGUCUGAGGUUCUGGUCAACCAAGCCAAGUUCUGCUUUGAACAGAAAGACUUCCAGAAGGCUGAAGCCUUCCUGCUCCGAGCCCAGAGGCCCGAACUGGCCGUUAAAUAUUACAAGGACGGCGACAUGUGGAGCGACGCCAUGCGUAUCUGUAAGGAGUACCUGCCCAACAAGCUCUCCCUGCUUCAGGAGGAGUACGAGAAGGAGACGUCCAAGAAGGGAAACCGCGUGGAGGGUCUGCUGGAACAGGCCCGGGAGUGGGAGCAGUCGGGGGAAUAUUCCCGAGCUGUGGAGUGUUACCUGAAGGUGAAGGACGACUCCAACGCGGCCCUGAUGGAGAAGUGCUGGAUGAAGGCAGCAGAGUUGUCCAUCAAGUUCCUGAGUGGAGACCGAGCCGUGGAGGUGGUCCAGGUGGUGGGGCCACGCCUCUCUCACCUGAGGAAGUACAGCGCUGCUGCUGAGCUCUACCUGAACCUGGACCUGAUCAAAGACGCAAUCGACGUGUUCAUAGAGGGCGAGGAGUGGAACAAAGCCAAGAGAGUGGCCAAGGAGCUGGAGCCGAGGUAUGAGGCCUACGUGGACCAGAAGUACAAAGAGCAUCUGAAGAAUCAGGGCAAAGUGGAUUCUCUGGUGGGUGUGGACGUGAUGGCAGCGCUGGACAUUUACGCAGAGAGAGGCCAGUGGGACAAAUGUCUGGAAACAGCCUCCAAACAGAACUUUAAGAUUCUCCAGAAGUACGUGGCUCUGUACGCCACGCAUCUCAUCAAAGAGGGGGCGGCUGUGAAGGCUCUGCAGCUCUACGUUCAGCACGGGGCUCCUCCCAGCCCUCAGAACUUCAACAUCUACAAGCGGCUGUUCCUGGACGUGAUGAACCUCCCUGACACCGACGGACCCGAGUCCUACCGCAUGUGGGCCGACCUCCGCAGCUUCCUGCUGCAGCUGUGUGAGAACGUGUCCAAGUCGGCCGAGGCCAACUCACCUGCUCAUGGAGACUUUGAACAGAUGCUGCUCGUCGCUCACUACUACGCCACCAGAUCAGCAGCUAAAGGAGUGGAGCAGCUGGCCGUCAUAGCAACCAAGCUGUCGGUGUCUCUGCUGCGUCACACUGAGCUCGUUCCCGUAGACAAGGCUUUCUAUGAGGCGGGUCUGUCCUGCAAGGCCGUUGGCUGGGACAACAUGGCCUUCAUCUUCCUCAAUCACUUCCUGGACCUGUGUGAUGCUGUUGAUGAGGGGACCCUGAACGCUCUGGACCACUCAGACUUCAUAGACACAGACAUUCCCUUUGAGGUUCCCAUUCCCACCAAGCUCUGCGUCACUGACAGUCAGAGAGAGAAAAUCCGUGACUGGGUUCUGAUGGUGUCCAUGGACCAGCGGCUGGAGCAGGUUCUACCACGAGACGAGAGGAACUCGUACGAAGCCUCGCUGGUGGCCACCAACACCGGGCUGCGCUCGCUGCCCUGCGUCCUCACCGGUUACCCAGUGCUGAGGAGUAAGAUCGAGUUUUCCUCCGUGGGAAAGGUUGCCAACAAGGAAGACUGGAACAAAUUCCUCAUGGCCACAAAGACGAGUCACAGUCCGGAGUGUCAGGACGUCCUGAAGUUCCUGAGCCAGUGGUGCGGUGGUCCAGCAUCUGGAUUCUCCUUCUACUGACGUCAGAUGAUUUUAUUUUUCACUCUAACAUCUGAAAAGAGAAUCUAAGACCAAGCAUUUUAAUGAAUAACUUUAGGUGCUGAGGUGCGUUUGGUCACAGCAGCUGUUUGUUUCUGUUUUUAUGCUGAGCAGCUGCUGCUCAUUGCUUGAUGUUUACUAUGCAGAUUUAAAGUUUAUAUGUUGGCUUAAAAAUAUAAAACAUUUUAAAUGUUCUGUACAAAUCAGGGUAAAAUGUUUGAAAUUAUAAAAAAUACUAAAAAAACAACAAUUUAGACUAAAAAUAACUAACAAAGACACAAAUGAAGAGAUGUCUGUGGGCAGAGAAAAAUGAAUUAAGAUCAAAUAAAUUAACUUGAAAUCUCAUGAAUUUUAUAUAUUGAACCACAGCAGCCUCUGAAUGUUUACCUUUAUAAACACCUAAAUAACCAGAAGCACAAAUCUAAAAUUAAAUCUAAAUAUGUGCUACACAGAGUCAACAGGACAUUUAUUAUUCAGAGCUUCUGAAGCCUGUAUUUGAACCCGCCUGCUGAAUCGGACCCAGAGCAGCCGUGUGUGCCUCCAGCUCAGCCUCCAGCUCCGGCUCUGACCCGAUGGCACCGUCGGUCUGACUUCAUUCUGCUGGUUGGUUUUGGACGCUGGCCGUUUUCCUGACUCACGCUCCCGCGCUGAUCCUGAACCCACACUCUGAAACCGGUGCUUGAGCGUGAUGGAUUUGAAGCGGAGAGGUUUAAACAUCAAAGUCUUCCAAAGGAGGAAGCGAAGGGUCCGCGUGAGGGACGCUUCGCCUGCAGCAGGAAUCCAGGCUCACACGGACUCAGAUCGACCUAAAUUUCAACGUUUUCAUGGUUGGAAUCAGAGUCCGUCUCCAUUUGAAGCACAGCUCCAUGCAUUUUAAGCAUGUGGCUGAAUCUGAACUCAUUAUUAAGAAAACUCACUGGCAGCUCAUCACAUAACAGCCUCCGCCGAGCUGCAGAGGAUCCGUCACCUCCGUGCGUUACUGGACUUUAUGAAUAGAUUUAUUAUGAACUUAUGUUCUUACUAAUGGCACCGUGUUAAAUAAAACCAAAUAAACCCAGA